GUUGUACAUUCAUUAUGUACAACAUUUGUUAAAAAAUUUGCUGUACAGAAGUUGGUCAUUUAACAUCAAAAGAAUAUCUGGUGAUAAAAUGGGAAGACAUUCUUUAAUAAGUAAGAGAAAGAAGAGGCAAGAAAACAGAAGAAGAAACAGAAUGCAAAAGGCAAG